AUCUUUAUUACAUAUUUAACAAACAAAAUAUUAUUCAUUGUUGGUUUUCUUUAAGAAAUAUUAAUUGCGCGAAAAAUUUGUGUAAACAGCAAAGAGUAUCAUCAAUAUUUAUAUAACUGUCCUCCAAACGAAAAGUCGGGCCAAAAAGCAGAAUAAAUAAAGAAACCAACGACUUUAGUAAUAAGUUCUCAUAUAUUUUAAGCGGAUUUUUUUUUACUCCUUAUAUUUAUUUGUUUUUCGCUUUUUUUUUUGCUUUUUUCUUUUAGCCCCUUGAGCCGUCACAAGUGCAAUAUGCUGAUAAGGCUGGAGAAUUGGUAGGCAGACAGGAGUGACGACGACGAGACUGCUGAAGACAGGAGAAACCGAAGAAGAUCCAGACAGAUUUUAUGGCCAAAAUAAAUGACGAACAGCGAAAACGGCAAAUGGCCAAACGAAAGGAACAGGCUAAUAAAAAGCCAUUAAAGCCAAGUUCAGGCAGGUCAUUUCGCAGGACUUACUGGACCUUGACUUCAAGUUUCCUUUCUUGGAUCUAAGAGAGCUGUUCUUCCUACUCUUGUAAAAGAUUUUGUUAGUAAAGACAAGAAGAAAAAGGAUUACGUACAGAAAAACAAGUCCUUAUCAAACGACAGACGUCUCUUCUCUCUUAAAAGAUGUCACUAAUAGAUCACCUCCAAUGGUAUUAUUAACAGGCUUCGAUUUACGAUCAAAGAGGAGUUCAGAAAUUCAACUCCCUCUCCAAGCGACAGAUGACUAAUCCCUCUCAAAAGACGCCACUCAUAGGAUCACCUUCUAUAGAAUUAUUCACUGUCGCUGAUUUGCGAUUAAAAAGGGUACAGGUAAGUAUAAAGAAGCUUAUAAACUGUAAAAAUAUUUAAUAAAUAUCUUAAUUUUUAGAAAUCCAACUUCCUCUGCAAACGGCAGACGACUCUUCUCCCUCAAAAGAAGUCCCUCAUAGGAUCGCCUGCUACAGAACUAUUCACUAUCGCCGAUUUUCGAUCAAAAAAGGAUACAGAAAUCCAACUCCCUUUUCAAACGGAAGACGUCUCUUCUCCCUCAAAAUAUACCACCCAUAGAUCACCUCCAAUGGCAUUAUUCACAGGCGCCGAAUUGCGAUCAAAGAAGAGUUCAGAAAUCCAACUCCUUCUUCAAACGGAAGACUCUUCAAAAUCUACACCACUCAUAGAUCACCUCCAAUGGCAUUAUUCAUACCGCACUGGCGCUGAUUUGCUGUCGAUUUAAUUGAUUUCAAUUACGGGGCGGCAUUAUUUCAAUUAGGUGAGUUAAGAAGAGGCUAUCAGGAGGAGGGAGGUGAUACAGAGGUGGGGAAAAUUGACAUGACACGUUGGGGUAGAGUCGUCGAGUUA